CCGAAAAACAAAAGAUUGCAGCAAAC
rnacentral:rasiRNA from 1 species